rnacentral:rRNA from 1 species
UACGAAGGGGGCUAGCGUUGCUCGGAAUCACUGGGCGUAAAGGGUGCGUCAGGCGGGUCUUUAAGUCAGGGGUGAAAUCCUGGAGCUCAACUCCAGAACUGCCUUUGAUACUGAAGAUCUUGAGUUCGGGAGAGGUGAGUGGAACUGCGAGUGUAGAGGUGAAAUUCGUAGAUAUUCGCAAGAACACCAGUGGCGAAGGCGGCUCACUGGCCCGAUACUGACGCUGAGGCACGAAAGCGUGGGGAGCAAACAGGG